AGUGAACGCUGGCGGCAGGCCUAACACAUGCAAGUCGAGCGGAUGAAGAGAGCGUGCUCGUGGAUUCAGGUGCGGACGGGUGAGUGGGGGCGAGGAAUCUGCCUGGUAAUGUUUGAGAACGGCCGGAAACGGGGGCUAAUACCGCAUACGUCCUUACGGAGUAAGGGUGGGAUCUGCGGACCUCACGCUAUCAGAUGAUCCUAUGUCGGAUUAGCUAGUUGGUGGGGUAAAGGCCUACCAAGGCGACGAUCCGUAACUGGUCUGAGAGGAUGAUCAGUCACACUGGAACUGAGACACGGUCCAGACUCCUACGGGAGGCAGCAGUGGGGAAUAUUGGACAAUGGGCGCAAGCCUGAUCCAGCCAUGCCGCGUGUGUGAAGAAGGUCUUCGGAUUGUAAAGCCCUUUAAGUUGGGAGGAAAGGCAGUAAGUUAAUACCUCGCUGUUCUGACGUUACCCAAAGAAUAAGCACCGGCUAACUUCGUG
rnacentral:rRNA from 1 species